UCCAUGUCUUAAAGGAAGAAACAGCUUUCAAGUGCCUUUCUGCAGUUUUUCCAUGAGCGCAAGAUUAUUA
rfam:Egretta garzetta contig17763, whole genome shotgun sequence.